ACGUAGGAGGCGAGCGUUGUCCGGAUUUAUUGGGCGUAAAGCGCGCGCAGGUGGGCUCUUAAGUCUGCUCUGAAAGUGCGGAGCUUAACCCCGUGAUGGGAUGGAAACUGGGAUUCUUGAGUAUCGGAGAGGAGAGCGGAAUUCCCCGUGUAGCGGUGAAAUGCGUAGAUAUGGGGAGGAACACCAGUUGCGAAGGCGGCUUUCUGGACGAAGUCCGACACUGAGGCACGAAAGCCAGGGGAGCGAACGG
rnacentral:rRNA from 1 species